AUGACCAUGUACGAGUUGAUCGGAUCGCUUCUUGCACAUGAGCAAAGAAUCAAUCGUUCGGCUAGUCAAUCAAUCGAACAAGCCUUCCAAUCAAAGCAAGCAUUAAAAAUAACUUUAAGCAAUCAUGGAGGUUCAAACAAUAAAAAGGGAAAGUUUAGCAAGUGGAGUCAAAAUGAAAAGCAAAGCAAUUGGAAAGCCAAGGCACCACAACAAUCCGGUAAGGCUCAAUCUUGCAUUAUUUGCAAAAAGAACAAUCAUGAAUCAAAAGAUUUCUAUUUUAAAUGCAAAAGA
rnacentral:lncRNA from 1 species